rnacentral:rRNA from 1 species
UACGUAGGUGGCAAGCGUUGUCCGGAUUUACUGGGCGUAAAGAGCGCGCAGGCGGUCGUUCAAGUCGCGUGUGAAAGCCCCCGGCUCAACUGGGGAGGGUCACGCGAUACUGAUCGACUGGAAGGCAGGAGAGGGUAGUGGAAUUCCCGGUGUAGUGGUGAAAUGCGUAGAUAUCGGGAGGAACACCAGUGGCGAAGGCGGUUGCCUGGAGCUUUGCUGACGCUGAUGCGCGAAAGCGUGGGGAGCGAGUCCGG